rnacentral:rRNA from 1 species
GUGGGGAAUUUUGGACAAUGGGCGCAAGCCUGAUCCAGCAAUGCCGCGUGUGUGAAGAAGGCCUUCGGGUUGUAAAGCACUUUUGUCCGGAAAGAAAUCUCCUGGGUUAAUACCUCGGGGGGAUGACGGUACCGGAAGAAUAAGCACCGGCUAACUACGUGCCAGCAGCCGCGGUAAUACGUAGGGUGCGAGCGUUAAUCGGAAUUACUGGGCGUAAAGCGUGCGCAGGCGGCUCUGCAAGACAGAUGUGAAAGCCCCGGGCUCAACCUGGGAACUGCAUUUGUGAGUGCAAGGCUAGAGUGCGUCAGAGGGAGGUGGAAUUCCGCGUGUAGCAGUGAAAUGCGUAGAGAUGCGGAGGAACACCGAUGGCGAAGGCAGCCUCCUGGGAUGACACUGACGCUCAUGCACGAAAGCGUGGGGAGCAAACAGGAUUAGAAACCCGGGUAGUCC